rnacentral:lncRNA from 1 species
AUGGGGUUGGGAUGUUGGCCGCCUGCCCCCCAGACAGAGCAGGUAACGCGUGUCCUCUGCACUGCCUGGCCUCGGGGACAGGGCCCAGGGACUCUCGGUUCUUCCAGCAGUCAGACAAGCCGCAGGUACUACGAAGCACCACGUGGGCCGGGCCAGAGUGGCGGNAGCGGGGCCACAGAGGCGGGAGGGGGCAGGAGAGGGGGCCCCAAGCGGGCGGGCUCGGGUCUUGGAAACGCGAACCAGCCAAGGCCCAGACGCAGGAGCAACUUCGGACCGGCGCCGCACAGCAGGGCUCACGGGCGUCGGGGAAGCCCAGCCCAGCAUACUGACCCUUCACCCCAAACCCCAUGGCCCAGCCAUCCCGGGGGGCGCCCCACCGCCGCCUUCUGGCCCCGCCAGGGGGCCCCAAGCGGGCGGGCUCGGGUCUUGGAAACGCGAACCAGCCAAGGCCCAGACGCAGGAGCAACUUCGGACCGGCGCCGCACAGCAGGGCUCACGGGCGUCGGGGAAGCCCAGCCCAGCAUACUGACCCUUCACCCCAAACCCCAUGGCCCAGCCAUCCCGGGGGGCGCCCCACCGCCGCCUUCUGGCCCCGCCCACACCUUGGCCCCGCCCCGCUGUGGUCACGUGAUGCGCUCUGGGCGCCCCGCCCCCAGCGGUGAUUGGUUCGGGCGGUCAUGUGACCGGACCGCUGCGCAGGAACCAAAAUGGAGGGAUAGGUUGAGGGGUCUGGCUUCGUGGCGGCCCCACCUGCCCGGUGUCGUCGAGGUUUGCCGGUGCUGCCGUGGAGCCGAGGUUGGCUGUGUUUCGGUUUCUAGCACUGGCAACCUGAAGAUGUGCCAACCUCUCAGCUCUACAACCAUGGAGUGUUUGGGGUUUGACUCCUUCCAUGGAUCUGACCAUCCUCGUAUCUGACACCUCCCACAGCCCGACACAAGAAGAAAUCACAUUUCCAACCAUAUCUGAAACGUCUUUCUCAGCCAGCACCCGUACUAAAAGACUCCUGCAAGAAACUCUAGAAAUGUUCCAGGGUGGUUUGAGGGAAGAUACUCUGUUUUCACGGAAGGCAGCUUACAGCCCCCGGGGGACAAUUUACUGUUGGCACGGGGAGCACUUAUUUCAACUUAACUAGGAUAAUUUGCCUCUUGUUAUAAGGAGAUGGCAUCUCCCUGCGUUUUGGAUUUAUUAACGAUAACAACCCUUGAAAUAAAAGCCCGUAUUUCAGGUCUCA